rnacentral:rRNA from 1 species
AUUGAACGCUGGCGGCAGGCCUAACACAUGCAAGUCGAGCGGAUGAAGGGAGCUUGCUCCUGGAUUCAGCGGCGGACGGGUGAGUAAUGCCUAGGAAUCUGCCUGGUAGUGGGGGAUAACGUCCGGAAACGGGCGCUAAUACCGCAUACGUCCUGAGGGAGAAAGUGGGGGAUCUUCGGACCUCACGCUAUCAAAUGAGCCUAGGUCGGAUUAGCUAGUUGGUGGGGUAAAGGCCUACCAAGGCGACGAUCCGUAACUGGUCUGAGAGGAUGAUCAGUCACACUGGAACUGAGACACGGUCCAGACUCCUACGGGAGGCAGCAGUGGGGAAUAUUGGACAAUGGGCGAAAGCCUGAUCCAGCCAUGCCGCGUGUGUGAAGAAGGUCUUCGGAUUGUAAAGCACUUUAAGUUGGGAGGAAGGGCAGUAAGUUAAUACCUUGCUGUUUUGACGUUACCAACACAAUAAGCACCGGCUAACUUCGUG